rnacentral:tRNA from 1 species
GGGCCUGUAGUUAAACGGUAGAAUACUGCAUUCGCAUUGCAGAGAUUCGGGUUCGAUUCCCGACAGGUCCA